AGAUGGGGGUGUUCAUCCUCAAAAUUCUGAUCCUCAUUGAUCCAGGAUCACCCUGGGCUUUAACUCUCCUGACUUGUCCUCGGAAUUCAGCCAAGCUCAAGGCUGUGGGUGGAUCUCUCGGGCUAGUGUGGCGAGCACAGACCAAAGGGAGUCAUACUGAAAGCUGGGAGCCUCAUGAAAAGGUCAUUACAGCUGAUUCAGCUGCAUGGGGUUGAGGGAUCUUCACCGAAUCAUGCAAGAUCUUUCAUUGCAGCACACAGACACUCCGGUUGUGGCCACGGGCUCCAGAGUGUGUGAGCCCAGCAGUUGGGGAGCACGGGCUUGGUUGCUCUGCAGCAUGUUGGGUCCUAGUACCCCGUCCAGGGAUCGAAACAGUGUUCCCUGCACUGGAAGGCAUUCUUGACCACUGGACCACCAAGGAAAUCCCAGAUAUUUAAAGUCAUGAGACUGGAUGAGAUUACCAAGUGAAGGUCGAUGAAGAGGACCAAGGGCUGAGGCCUGGGGUUCCCAGACUGAAUAGAUGGGGAUUUGAGGAGGGGCCAGCAAAGGAUACAGAAAAGCAGCAGCCAGUGAGGUGGGAGGGGGACCAGGCAAAGCCAAGUGAAGAAAGUGUUUCCAGAAGAGACCAUAAUCGAUUGUAUCUAUCGUGACUUUUAGAGCAAAUAAAAUGAGAACUAAGAAUUAACCGUUAGGUUUAGCAGCCUGGGGGCCAUGGGUGACUUUGAUCAAAGCAGUUUUGGAGGAACGAUGGGAGAUUUAGCUUGACUGGAGCAGUUUAAGAGAGAAUUGGAGAUUCUCCUUUGUCUCUUUUCUC